rnacentral:rRNA from 1 species
UACGUAGGGUGCAAGCGUUGUCCGGAAUUAUUGGGCGUAAAGAGCUCGUAGGCGGUCUGUUGCGUCGGCUGUGAAAACCCGGGGCUCAACCCCGGGCCUGCAGCCGAUACGGGCAGACUAGAGUUCGGCAGGGGAGACUGGAAUUCCUGGUGUAGCGGUGAAAUGCGCAGAUAUCAGGAGGAACACCGGUGGCGAAGGCGGCUACCUGGACAGAAACUGACGCUCAUGCACGAAAGCUAGGGGAGCAAACAGG